rnacentral:rRNA from 1 species
CCUACGGGCGGCAGCAGUGGGGAAUAUUGCGCAAUGGGGGCAACCCUGACGCAGCAACGCCGCGUGAUUGAAGAAGGCCUUCGGGUUGUAAAGAUCUUUAAUCGGGGACGAAUUUUGACGGUACCUGAAGAAAAAGCAUCGGCUAACUCCGUGCCAGCAGCCGCGGUAAUACGGAGGAUGCGAGCGUUAUCCGGAUUUAUUGGGUUUAAAGGGUGCGCAGGCGGAGGCACAAGUCAGCGGUAAAAUCGCGGGGCUCAACCCCGCUCCGCCGUUGAAACUGUGUCCCUUGAGUGCGCGAAGGGUAGGCGGAAUGCGUGGUGUAGCGGUGAAAUGCAUAGAUAUCACGCAGAACUCCGAUCGCGAAGGCAGCCUACCGGCGCGCAACUGACGCUCAUGCACGAAAGCGUGGGUAUCGAACAGGAUUAGAUACCCCAGUAGUC